GCGGGUGAGGAUGAAGGUUUCGGAUCGUAAAGUCUGUGUUAGGGAGACAAGUCCGUUGAAUAGGGCGCACCUGACGGUACCUACCAGAAGCCACGGUAACUACGUGCCAGCAGCGCGGUAUACGUAGGGGCAAGCGUGUCCGGAAUUAUUGGCGUAAAGCGCGCGCAGGCGGUCUUUUAAGUCUGGAUGGAAAGCCCACGGCUCAACCGUGGAGGGUCAUUGGAAACUGGGAGACUUGAGUACAGAAGAGGAGAGUGGAAUUCCACGUGUAGCGGUGAAAUGCGUAGAUAUGUGGAGGAACACCAGUGGCGAAGGCGACUCUCUGGUCUGUAACUGACGCUGAGGCGCGAAAGCGUGGGGAGCAAACAGGAUUAGAUACCCUGGUAGUCCACGCCGUAAACGAUGAGUGCUAGGUGUUAGGGGUUUCGAUGCCCUUAGUGCCGAAGUUAACACAUUAAGCACUCCGCCUGGGGAGUACGACCGCAAGGUUGAAACUCAAAGGAAUUGACGGGGGCCCGCACAAGCAGUGGAGCAUGUGGUUUAAUUCGAAGCAACGCGAAGAACCUUACCAGGUCUUGACAUCCUUUGACAACCCUAGAGAUAGGGCUUUCCCCUUCGGGGGACAAAGUGACAGGUGGUGCAUGGUUGUCGUCAGCUCGUGUCGUGAGAUGUUGGGUUAAGUCCCGCAACGAGCGCAACCCUUGAUCUUAGUUGCCAGCAUUCAGUUGGGCACUCUAAGGUGACUGCCGGUGACAAACCGGAGGAAGGUGGGGACGACGUCAAAUCAUCAUGCCCCUUAUGACCUGGGCUACACACGUGCUACAAUGGAUGGUACAAAGGGCUGCAAAACCGCGAGGUUGAGCGAAU
rnacentral:rRNA from 1 species